rnacentral:lncRNA from 1 species
UGGCCUGCCUAUUCACGCGCUCUCGUCCCUCUUGACCGCCAAAACAAGAACAAAAAGAAAACACCACCGGGGGCAGGGGCUCUACUCGGGGGCCUCCUCUACACACUCAAAAACCAGGGCCCCACGCAGCCAGCAAGGCAAGGGAUACACGGAGGACCACGGGCCUGAGACGACACACCACAAAAGCCGAAUACGGAUGCACAGAGAAGACCAACACAAAGCGAGUACUCGCACACUGGUCCUCGAAGGCCAGCUGUUCAACUACCACGAGCAACGAGCAACGAACACUUCCCGAGGGUGGCCACCACUACCUCGCCGGUCCACUCACAAACGAGGCGAAACUGGUCCGCACGUCAGUCUCCUCCUGGGGGUUGCGGGCUCUCGGAUGCAGCCCAGCGCGAGACACAGCAAAAACACCUAUAGCCGCGGGGGGGAUGACAAGCCAGCACGGCGCCCCCCUAUAAAGCCCGGAAAAGGCACGGCUCACAGACGCCGCCUGCUCCCGCUUACCACACCGAAAUCCCUCCCCUCCUGACCCUGACCGGCCGGGACCAGCAACACCUGUUCUCCACCUCUAAACCACUCUCCUCCACCGCUUUCCCACCUCCUCUCCACUCCCGCAAGCCACCUACGUGUUCUCUACUCUGAUGCCAGACAGCACAGAACCCAUUCCCCUCACUCCGACGGGCCCCAAUUCCCG